UACUGUCUCUUAUAAUAAUCAAUUAAACUGAUCUCCUAGUAAAAAAGCUAGAAUAACACCAUAAGACCAGAAGACCCUGUGAAGCUUAAACUAAACUAUUAAAUCUAAUAAUAACUACUUUUGGUUGGGGCGACCUUGGAAAAAAAAAGAACUUCCAAUAUAAUGACUUUACCUCAUACUAAGCUAAAAGGCCAACAAGCCAACAAAUGACCCAGCACAGCUGAUAACUGAACCAAGUUACUCCAGGGAUAACAGCGCAAUCUUCUUCAAGAGCCCAUAUCAAAAAGAAGGUUUACGACCUCGAUGUUGGAUCAGGACAUCCUAAUGGUGCAGCCGCUAUUAAAGGUUCGUUUGUUCAACGAUUAAUA
rnacentral:rRNA from 1 species